rnacentral:rRNA from 1 species
CUUUAUUGGAGAGUUUGAUCCUGGCUCAGGACGAACGCUGGCGGCGUGCCUAAUACAUGCAAGUCGAGCGGACUUGAUGGAGUGCUUGCACUCCUGAAGGUUAGCGGCGGACGGGUGAGUAACACGUAGGCAACCUGCCCUCAAGACUGGGAUAACUACCGGAAACGGUAGCUAAUACCGGAUAAUUUAUUUUGCAGCAUUGUGAGAUAAUGAAAGGCGGAGC